AAUCUGCCCUGAAGUGGGGAAUAACACCGGGAAACCGGUGCUAAUACCGCAUAUGAUCACGGUGUCUGCGGACACAGGGAUGAAAGGAGCAAUUCGCUUCAGGAGGAGCCCGCGGCUGAUUAGCUAGUUGGUGAGGUAAUGGCCCACCAAGGCUACGAUCAGUAUCCGGUCUGAGAGGACGGUCGGACACACUGGAACUGAGACACGGUCCAGACUCCUACGGGAGGCAGCAGUGGGGAAUUUUUCGCAAUGGGGGCAACCCUGACGAAGCAACGCCGCGUGGAUGAUGAAGUAUUUCGGUACGUAAAAUUCCUUUUGACAGGG
rnacentral:rRNA from 1 species